CUGGAAAUCCAUGGGCGAUGAUGGAGGGGCGUCUGACAUGGUGGCAGUUUGAUCUUCCCGUCUGUGGGUAGAUAUGGUAUACGUCAGUGCGUAUGUAGCUACACAGUGGCUUCCACGUACAACUGGGGGUCACCCAGGUACCAUAUAAUCAGUACCACUAGGAAUUUGAGUAGUGGUCUGUAGAGGGGGUCACCCUCUCAUCGACCGGG